AUUGAACGCUGGCGGCAGGCCUAACACAUGCAAGUCGAACGAGUGGCGGACGGGUGAGUAAUGUCUGGGAAACUGCCAGAUGGAGGGGGAUAACUACUGGAAACGGUAGCUAAUAGCGCAUACCAUCGGAUGUGCCCAGAUGGGAUUAGCUAGUAGGUGGGGUAACGGCUCACCUAGGCGACGAUCCCUAGCUGGUCUGAGAGGAUGACCAGCCACACUGGGACUGAGACCCGGUCCAGACUCCUACGGGAGGCAGCAGUGGGGAAUAUUGCACAAUGGGCGCAAGCCUGAUGCAGCCAUGCCGCGUGUAUGAAGAAGGCCUUAGGGUUGUAAAGUACUUUCAGCGUGGAGGCGUUACCCGCAGAAGAAGCACCGGCUAACUCCGUGCCAGCAGCCGCGGUCCUUC
rnacentral:rRNA from 1 species